rnacentral:rRNA from 1 species
CUAUAAGGAUUGACAGAUUGAUAGCUCUUUCAUGAUUUAGUGGUUGGUGGUGCAUGGCCGUUCUUAGUUCGUGGAUAUGAUUUGUCUGGUUGAUUCCGAUAACGAGCGAGACUUUUAUGUUAUAUUAAAUAUUAUUAUUUUGUUUAUUUUAAUAUAAAUAAUUAAUAUUUUAAUAACAGAUUAAUAGUGUUUAACUAUUUGAGAGAGAGCGAUAACAGGUCUGUGAUGCCCUUAGAUGUCCGGGGCUGCACGCGCGCUACAAUGUAGUGAUCAUUAUGUUC